rnacentral:misc_RNA from 1 species
GAUGAAGAACGUAGUGAAAUGCGAUACUUGGUGUGAAUUGCAGAAUCCCGCGAAUCAUCGAGUUUUUGAACGCAAGUUGCGCCCGAAGCCAUUCGGCCGAGGGCACGUCUGCCUGGGUGUCACGCAUCGUUGCCCCCCCAAACUCCGGUUCGGGCGGGGCGGAAGUUGGCCUCCCGUGCGUGCCUGCGCGCGCGGUUAGCCCAAAAGCGAGUCCUCGGCGACGAGCGCCACGACAAUCGGUGGUUUUUUUACCCUCGUUCCUCGUCGUGCGUGUCCCGUCGCCCGAACGCGCUCUUGCGACCCUCACGCGUCGCCUCGGCGGCGCUCCCAACGCGACCCCAGGUCAGGCGGGACUACCCGCUGAGUUUAAGCAUAUCAAUAAGCGGAGGA